GUGCUCGCUUCUACAGCACAUAUACUAAAAUUGGAACGAUACAGAGAAGAUUAGCAUGGCCCCUUAACAAGGAAAUUCGUGAAGCGUUCCAUAUUUUU
ensembl:snRNA Gm24490 predicted gene, 24490